UACGUAGGUCCCGAACGUUGCGCGAAUUGACUGGGUGUAAAGGGUGCGCAGGCGGACUUGUGCGUCAGAGGUUAAAUACCCCGGCUCAACCGGGGAAAUGCCUUUGAAAAGGCAGGUCUUGAGUGCGAGAGAGGAUGGUAGAAUUCCUGGUGUAGCGGUGAAAUGCGUAGAUAUCAGGAGGAAUACCAGUGGCGAAGGCGGACAUCUGGCUCGCAACUGACGCUCAGGCACGAAAGCGUGGGGCGCAAACAGG
rnacentral:rRNA from 1 species